rnacentral:rRNA from 1 species
UGCGUAGGCGGCCGUGCAAGUCUGGCGUGAAAGCCCCGGGCUCAGCCCGGGAAGUGCGCUCGAAACUGCGCGGCUCGAGUGCCGGAGGGGAGAGUGGAAUUCCUGGUGUAGCGGUGAAAUGCGUAGAUAUCAGGAGGAAUACCGGUGGCGAAAGCGACUCUCUGGACGGCAACUGACGCUGAGGCAAAGACUGGGGAGGCAAACA